GUGCUCAGUUCAUCAGCACAUGUACUACACUCAGAACAACACAGAGUUAGUAUGGCCCUUGCACAAAGAUGACAUGCAAAUUCGUGAAACAUUCCACAGUUUU